rnacentral:rRNA from 1 species
UACAGAGGAGCCAAGCGUUGUCCGGAUUGACUGGGCGUAAAGCGCACGCAGGCGGAUGCGCGCGUGGGGUGUGAAAUCUGGCCGCUUAACGGCCAGGCGCCAUCCCAUACGGCGCGACUGGAGUGAUGCAGAGGUCGGUGGAAUUGCCGGUGUAGUGGUGAAAUGCGUAGAGAUCGGCAGGAACACCCAGGGGGAAACCAGCCGACUGGGCAUCUACUGACGCUGAGGUGCGAGAGCGUGGGGAGCGAACAGG